CUUCUUCCAUGCGGUCUGCAGACGACAGUGACCUCCUGGUGGCGGUGGUGCUAGAUCGCUGGGGCUGAAGAGGCGCCCUGUUGUCACAACAAGUCUUAGACGUGGUCUGCAGAUUAGAUGAUAGUGACCUCCCUUCCUUGCGACUCAUGGUUUGCUGGAGCUGUAGGAUUCUCCCGGCACAAUGGAGGUGCUAUCGUCUGAUUUGGAGCAACAAGGAAAUAUAAAGUAGUAAAACAAUUUCUUUACGAAAGAUAAACUUUUCAGGGUCAUUGAAAAUUAUGAGUCAAAACCUAGAGCAUAAUCUUCAGAAUGCCUUGCUUUUAAUAAGUGAUUACCUAUUUUGUUACAGAGCCGAAAUCUACUUCUAGAUGACCCUCAGAUUUGACCGUGCAAUAUAAGUUUGAUCGUGCAAUAUAAGUUUGUAACCCUCAGAUGAAGUAACCGUAGUGACUGCUGGUAGUGUUGAGUAAUGACCAAUUAGUGCCUAAACAAUUUUUACCAUGCUGCAUAUGUAACCCAACUCGUCCAAAUAUACGAAUGUUUCUCUCUUAA